CACGUAGUUAGCCGUCCCUUUCUGGUAAGAUACCGUCACAGUGUGAACUUUCCACUCUCACACUCGUUCUUCUCUUACAACAGAGCUUUACGAUCCGAAAACCUUCUUCACUCACGCGGCGUUGCUCGGUCAGACUUCCGUCCAUUGCCGAAGAUUCCCUACUGCUGCUUCCCGUAGGAGUCUGGGCCGUGUCUCAGUCCCAGUGUGGCCGAUCACCCUCUCAGGUCGGCUAUGUAUCGUCGCCUUGGUGAGCCGUUACCCCACCAACUAGCUAAUACAACGCAGGUCCAUCUGGUAGUGAUGCAAUUGCACCUUUUAAGCAAAUGUCAUGCAACAUCUACUCUUAUGCGGUAUUAGCUAUCGUUUCCAAUUAGUUAUCCCCCAUACCAGGCAGGUUACCUACGCGUUACUCACCCGUUGCAACUCAUCCAGAGAAGCAAGCUCCUCCUUCAGCGUUCUACUUGCAUGUAUUAGGCACGCCGCAGCGU
rnacentral:rRNA from 1 species